UGGUGGUCCACGGCAGCUCUCAAGAGUGCCACUGGGAUUCCAGGGCAGCGGAAAGGAAUGCAGUCCCCAUGCCAUGAGAAUCUCAAGUCACAAGAAGAAGCCAGAUUUAUGUACUCUGGUCCAUCAUCUGAACUGAACCUGGAUGUUAGCUAUUCCAGCCCAGUUAAAUAGUACCUGGUGGGUCGGAAUAAAGGAUUUGGAUGUUUCCAGUGCCAUCUCUGGUGAGAAAUGAGGUAGGUCUAAGAAUGAACUGGGGGAGGGAAACUUCACUCCUCCAAAUUACAAAGAUAAGUGUAAAAACUUCAUGAUACAAAGAUGCCUGGGGUGACCCUCCAUACAAAUCACUCUUCUAUGACACACAAUUAUCUAGUUAUUUAUUUUUAGUAUUGAUGGAAGAAUAACACGUCAUUUUUGGUGGCAGCCGAGUAAAGCUACUUUCUGUGCGGUGCUUUGAACCAUCCCAAGGCU